rnacentral:rRNA from 1 species
AGUGAACGCUGGCGGUAGGCCUAACACAUGCAAGUCGAACGGCGGCACAGUAAGAGCUUGCUCUUACGGGUGGCGAGUGGCGGACGGGUGAGGCAUACAUCGGAAUCUACUUUUUCGUGGGGGAUAACGUAGGGAAACUUACGCUAAUACCUCAUACGACCUACGGGUGAAAGCAUGGUAUCUUCGGACCUUUCGCGAAUGACUGAGCCGAUGUCGGAUUUGUUAGUUGGCGGGGUAAAGGCCCACCAAGGCGACGAUCCGUAGCUGGUCUGAGAGGAUGAUCAGCCACACUGGAACUGGGACACGGUCCAGACUCCUACGGGAGGAAGCAGUGGGGAAUAUUGGACAAUGGGCGAAAGCCUGAUCCAGCCAUACCGCGUGGGUGAAGAAGGCCUUCGGGUUGUAAAGCCCUUUUGUUGGGAAAGAAAAGCAGCAGGUUAAUACCCCGCUGUUCUGACGGUACCCAAAGAAUAAGCACCGGCUAACUUCGUG